CCUACGGGUGGCAGCAGUGAGGAAUAUUGCUCAAUGGGGGAAACCCUGAAGCAGCAACGCCGCGUGGAGGAUGAAGGUUUUCGGAUUGUAAACUCCUUUUGUUAGAGAAGAUAAUGACGGUAUCUAACGAAUAAGCACCGGCUAACUCCGUGCCAGCAGCCGCGGUAAUACGUAGGGAGCGAGCGUUGUCCGGAAUUACUGGGCGUAAAGGGCGCGUAGGCGGGAACUUAAGUUAGAUGUGAAAACUCCGGGCUUAACCUGGAGACUGCAUUUAAAACUGGGUUUCUUGAGGGCAGGAGAGGAAAGUGGAAUUCCUAGUGUAGCGGUGAAAUGCGUAGAUAUUAGGAGGAACACCAGUGGCGAAGGCGACUUUCUGGACUGUACCUGACGCUGAGGCGCGAAAGCAUGGGGAGCGAACAGGAUUAGAUACCCCGGUAGUC
rnacentral:rRNA from 1 species